CAGGCCCAUGGCUUGUUGCGUGCAGACAUCUGAACUGUCUUGGCCAGACUGGUAAGUCUAUGGGCAUAUUGAAAAGUUUCCGCUCGUUCAGCACGUCACGUGUCGUAGUACCGGCAUUACCUCGUCGUCAAAGUAGCAAUAAACGUGUUGGUCCAGUAACUGUGCAGUCCAAGUGCUCUGGAAUCCUGAGAUCGCGCUUUCGAUUUUCGAUCGAGACGAAAUAAUGGCGGGACAAGGCACGCAACUGACGAUAUACGGGUCUUCUUCCCGGACAACGGAGAGCUGUGAUGUUCUGGCUGACAGCAGAGUGGGCAAUGUUCCUGUGGGGAGUACACGAAGUUUACCGGUGGUGCGAGAGCAGUACUGUCAAUGCAGCCCGAACACGAAACUUGAGAAGAGGCUGGUCAUUGCUGUGGUGAUACUAGCUCUGGUAACUGUUUUGCUUCUAAUAGCCAUGUCAGUGUUGGCUGAGAGGGAGAGAACACGAAGCGUGAAGGAUAUCAUGAAAUCACUACUGCCUAAAUUUUGACAUGAAACCAUGGUUGCAUGGUCUGUAGGAUAUAAACAAUAUAACAAACAGAUCCUUCUCUCAAGCUUUGCAGGAAUAAUAAAAAGUAAAUAACCUCUGCUUGAAGUUAAUGUGUUUAUUUUGGACAACAGGGUCAGAUUUGGGCUUCAAGGAGUGAAGCAUUUAGAGGCGAAAAUAUGGCAGUUAACAAAGUAUGUGAUGAAUGAAUGUCAUGUGGCAUAUGGUCCAUCAUGCUGGAAGAUACUAAUUAACUGGCUUAGAAAUGGGUCUUCAAGGACCUGCGCAUGCUCACUAUCUUUGGUAUUAACAGCCAUUUAUUCAUGCAUUAAUGCACGUAUUUCAAGACUAUGGUAAAACACUGGUCCUAUGCAUCACAUCAUUCCACCACAUUGAAUAUAUAAGAUAUUAUAACACAAUGUAUUUUAUGGAUGGGACCUUCUAUAAGUAAAAUGGCAGUUGUAAACUAAAUGUCUCAUGGCCAAAAAAGAAAAAUAUUUCUGUUUCCAGUUUACCAUUAGCCAGAAAUGCCAAGUUUGUCAAGGAUCAGAUAAUCACUAUUUAUAUUGGCCAAUAAACUUGUAAACUAAUAUAAGUAAUGGUGCUGCUUCUAAUGAGAGGGUUGGAUACAUAAAGAAUACCGUGUAUGGAUUUGUGUGCCUUACACAACAGCAUGAUUCAAGUGAAGGAAAUUGAGAGCACAGCAACAAGAGAUGUGUGUUUGUCCACUCCUGUGAAUGUGAAUGAGACUGUAGAGAAACUGACUUGACUUCAUGGGUAUUAGGAACAUAAUGAAUUAUAAUUGUAUGAUAAACUCACACUUAAAUAUUCAUGAGUUACUAACAUUAGUUGAUCAAAGAAGGGUGAGAUAUUAUCCCAUUUGUUCUAGAACUACACAAAUCCAUAUUUCCUGUGGCAAAUACUGGGUUACUGACUGUUAAAUUGCACAUGAUGGGUCAAAGGCAUUCUCUGCAUUGCUGUUGUAAUGAAUUAUAAUACCUUAAAAAUUAGUAUGCUGGUUAGUUAAUUAGUAAUUAGAAACAUUUCCAUGUUGUGUCACAACAAGCACACCAGAACAACCCUACAUUAUUUGUUAUAUGUAGACUUUUAACUUAUAUUGGAAAAUACUGUGAACAAAUUCAAAUAAGACCAUAAUGGGAAAAUUUAGACUUUAAGGCUCAAUUAUUUUAAACUGAAGAGAUCAGCGUACUUCGACUCUGAGAAUGGGUAAUUACAGGCUGCCCUUCAAGCACAUUUCCUAAUUAACUACAGUACUAUUAAGGUGGUCUAUAUCUAAUUAUUUUUUUAUUCUUUCAGGAAACAUUCCUUGUAUAAAGUACGUAAAAAUUAUUGCCAAUAAGACAGUGGUACAGCACAAACACAUAAUGUGUUCUACUAAAACUUUCACUGCUUUCAAGUAUUUUGGUCAAAGCUAUUAUGAAGUAGGCAAACAUUUCAAGUAGCAUACCAUCGAUAUAUAUGCUAUUUUUCUUCUUACUUGUACUUGUGAGAAAUUUCAAACAAAGAAUGCAACAUUUAAGUUUUAUGGCCUGUCUGAGUCACAUACACUUAAUUAAUUGGCUGAGUGAAUGUUAUAUUAUAAUGUGCCACAGCAUCACAUUUUAUAAAUUAAGUAUGAAAUCUUUAGACAGCAUGUAAUGAAGCAGAGUGUACAGGGCAUGUACACUACUGAUGGUAUAUAUAUUUUUGGCAUUACAGUGAAAUAGGGUGAUUUAAGUGUUACUGAAAAGAUGUACAGUUGCCCACAUCAACUUAUGCCAACCAGUAGUGAACUUGACAUACUAAGAGCUUAUACACAUUAUGUGUACAUUUUCUAUCCAAUAUUGCCCCAAUAAAUAAAUGAAGAGGUACCAUGAAGCAAGGUUAUGCAUUAUGCGCUGGCUGACCAUAAUCUUGAACUCAGCUACUGUAUUCAACAUUCAGUCAUGUUAACUCUCAUUGAAAUGCCAUAUGAGGUAUAUAAAAAAAAGGUAAAGCUAUCUGUGUAACAGGCCGUUGCGUCCCAUAGGGUUGUGAGAU